ACUCAAAGGAAUUGACGGGGACCCGCACAAGCGGUGGAGCAUGUGGAUUAAUUCGAUACUAACCGAAGAACCUUACCCAGGUUUGACAUCGAUCGCAAAAUCCAGAGAUGGGUUCCUCCCCCACAAGGGGACGUGAAGACACUUGUUGCAUGGCUGUCGUCAGCUCGUGCCGUGAGGUGUACGGUUAAGUCCGCCAACGAGCGCAACCCUCGUUCUGUGUUACCAGCAUUAAAGAUGGGGACUCACAGGAGACCGCCGGUGUAAGCCGGAGGAAGGUGGGGAUGACGUCAAGUCAGCAUGGCAGUUACGCCUGGGGCUUCACACAUGCUACAAUGGGCGAAACAAAGGGCAGCGAUACCGUGAGGUGGAGCCAAUCCCAAAAAUACGCCCUCAGUUCAGAUUGCAGUCUGCAACUCGACUGCAUGAAGUCGGAAUCGCUAGUAAACGCAGGUCAGCUAUACUGCGUUGAAUACGUUCCCGGGUCUUGUACACACCGCCCGU
rnacentral:rRNA from 1 species